rnacentral:rRNA from 1 species
UUAAGCGACUAAGCGUACACGGUGGAUGCCCUGGCAGUCAGAGGCGAUGAAGGACGUGCUAAUCUGCGAUAAGCGUCGGUAAGGUGAUAUGAACCGUUAUAACCGGCGAUUUCCGAAUGGGGAAACCCAGUGUGUUUCGACACACUAUCAUUAACUGAAUCCAUAGGUUAAUGAGGCGAACCGGGGGAACUGAAACAUCUAAGUACCCCGAGGAAAAGAAAUCAACCGAGAUUCCCCCAGUAGCGGCGAGCGAACGGGGAGCAGCCCAGAGCCUGAAUCAGUGUGUGUGUUAGUGGAAGCGUCUGGAAAGGCGCGCGAUACAGGGUGACAGCCCCGUACACAAAAAUGCACAUGCUGUGAGCUCGAUGAGUAGGGCGGGACACGUGGUAUCCUGUCUGAAUAUGGGGGGACCAUCCUCCAAGGCUAAAUACUCCUGACUGACCGAUAGUGAACCAGUACCGUGAGGGAAAGGCGAAAAGAACCCCGGCGAGGGGAGUGAAAAAGAACCUGAAACCGUGCACGUACAAGCAGUGGGAGCACGCUUAGGCGUGUGACUGCGUACCUUUUGUAUAAUGGGUCAGCGACUUAUAUUCUGUAGCAAGGUUAACCGAAUAGGGGAGCCGAAGGGAAACCGAGUCUUAACUGGGCGUUAAGUUGCAGGGUAUAGACCCGAAACCCGGUGAUCUAGCCAUGGGCAGGUUGAAGGUUGGGUAACACUAACUGGAGGACCGAACCGACUAAUGUUGAAAAAUUAGCGGAUGACUUGUGGCUGGGGGUGAAAGGCCAAUCAAACCGGGAGAUAGCUGGUUCUCCCCGAAAGCUAUUUAGGUAGCGCCUCGUGAAUUCAUCUCCGGGGGUAGAGCACUGUUUCGGCAAGGGGGUCAUCCCGACUUACCAACCCGAUGCAAACUGCGAAUACCGGAGAAUGUUAUCACGGGAGACACACGGCGGGUGCUAACGUCCGCCGUGAAGAGGGAAACAACCCAGACCGCCAGCUAAGGUCCCAAAGUCAUGGUUAAGUGGGAAACGAUGUGGGAAGGCCCAGACAGCCAGGAUGUUGGCUUAGAAGCAGCCAUCAUUUAAAGAAAGCGUAAUAGCUCACUGGUCGAGUCGGCCUGCGCGGAAGAUGUAACGGGGCUAAACCAUGCACCGAAGCUGCGGCAGCGACACUAUGUGUUGUUGGGUAGGGGAGCGUUCUGUAAGCCUGCGAAGGUGUGCUGUGAGGCAUGCUGGAGGUAUCAGAAGUGCGAAUGCUGACAUAAGUAACGAUAAAGCGGGUGAAAAGCCCGCUCGCCGGAAGACCAAGGGUUCCUGUCCAACGUUAAUCGGGGCAGGGUGAGUCGACCCCUAAGGCGAGGCCGAAAGGCGUAGUCGAUGGGAAACAGGUUAAUAUUCCUGUACUUGGUGUUACUGCGAAGGGGGGACGGAGAAGGCUAUGUUGGCCGGGCGACGGUUGUCCCGGUUUAAGCGUGUAGGCUGGUUUUCCAGGCAAAUCCGGAAAAUCAAGGCUGAGGCGUGAUGACGAGGCACUACGGUGCUGAAGCAACAAAUGCCCUGCUUCCAGGAAAAGCCUCUAAGCAUCAGGUAACAUCAAAUCGUACCCCAAACCGACACAGGUGGUCAGGUAGAGAAUACCAAGGCGCUUGAGAGAACUCGGGUGAAGGAACUAGGCAAAAUGGUGCCGUAACUUCGGGAGAAGGCACGCUGAUAUGUAGGUGAAGCGACUUGCUCGUGGAGCUGAAAUCAGUCGAAGAUACCAGCUGGCUGCAACUGUUUAUUAAAAACACAGCACUGUGCAAACACGAAAGUGGACGUAUACGGUGUGACGCCUGCCCGGUGCCGGAAGGUUAAUUGAUGGGGUCAGCGCAAGCGAAGCUCUUGAUCGAAGCCCCGGUAAACGGCGGCCGUAACUAUAACGGUCCUAAGGUAGCGAAAUUCCUUGUCGGGUAAGUUCCGACCUGCACGAAUGGCGUAAUGAUGGCCAGGCUGUCUCCACCCGAGACUCAGUGAAAUUGAACUCGCUGUGAAGAUGCAGUGUACCCGCGGCAAGACGGAAAGACCCCGUGAACCUUUACUAUAGCUUGACACUGAACAUUGAGCCUUGAUGUGUAGGAUAGGUGGGAGGCUUUGAAGUGUGGACGCCAGUCUGCAUGGAGCCGACCUUGAAAUACCACCCUUUAAUGUUUGAUGUUCUAACGUGGACCCGUGAUCCGGGUUGCGGACAGUGUCUGGUGGGUAGUUUGACUGGGGCGGUCUCCUCCUAAAGAGUAACGGAGGAGCACGAAGGUUGGCUAAUCCUGGUCGGACAUCAGGAGGUUAGUGCAAUGGCAUAAGCCAGCUUGACUGCGAGCGUGACGGCGCGAGCAGGUGCGAAAGCAGGUCAUAGUGAUCCGGUGGUUCUGAAUGGAAGGGCCAUCGCUCAACGGAUAAAAGGUACUCCGGGGAUAACAGGCUGAUACCGCCCAAGAGUUCAUAUCGACGGCGGUGUUUGGCACCUCGAUGUCGGCUCAUCACAUCCUGGGGCUGAAGUAGGUCCCAAGGGUAUGGCUGUUCGCCAUUUAAAGUGGUACGCGAGCUGGGUUUAGAACGUCGUGAGACAGUUCGGUCCCUAUCUGCCGUGGGCGCUGGAGAACUGAGGGGGGCUGCUCCUAGUACGAGAGGACCGGAGUGGACGCAUCACUGGUGUUCGGGUUGUCAUGCCAAUGGCACUGCCCGGUAGCUAAAUGCGGAAGAGAUAAGUGCUGAAAGCAUCUAAGCACGAAACUUGCCCCGAGAUGAGUUCUCCCUGACUCCUUGAGAGUCCUGAAGGAACGUUGAAGACGACGACGUUGAUAGGCCGGGUGUGUAAGCGCAGCGAUGCGUUGAGCUAACCGGUACUAAUGAACCGUGAGGCUUAACCUU